CUUCUCAUUUUUUUGUUUUUUUUGGGACUUCUAUCGGUCUCCCCUCUUGGAGGUUUAACAGAAGAUCUCUUGGUGUAAUCUCUGGGGGAGGGUUGUUGGAGGUUUGAGCUUUCCUGUCCUCUGGAGGCUUUUGAUUGGCUUAAAAGUCCAGCAGUCAAUGAGUAUGGAUGGGAAGCCUGGGCUUCCCUGCGUUCUGGAGACUUUUGAUGGGAUUGAGUUCAGCUUAGUUGGGCUGGGUUUACUCUGAGUUUUAAACUUCCUGGAUGGCUGGAAUAAAUAUGGAGGAUCUCCAAAGCUCUGGCCAGGCUGCCAGGUCUAUGCUCCUUCUAGGCUGUCAUCUUGACUUCACCUCUAGGUUUCUGUUUUUUUCAGAAGACCCUGCUCUCUAAGGGGGGAGGGGUCAUGGCUUGCCUGGGCUCUGAGGGCUCCUGAUGGGAUUAGGUUCACUUGGUUUGGGCCAAAUGAGCCCUGAAGCAAAAAACCUCCUCCUCCACAAUCUGUGUUGAAUGCCUGGAGACUGGCCCGGGUUGUCUUCAAGGUAAGUCCUUCACCAGCCCUGAGGUUUUUGUUCUUUCAGAAGCUCUGAGGGCUCCUGAUGGGAUUAGGUUCAAGUGGUGUGGGCCAAAUGAUCCCUGAGCCAAAAAAAGAAAGAAAAAAAAACAACCUCCUCCUCCACAGUCUGUGUUGAAUGCCCGGAGACUGGCCCGAGUUACUUUCAAGGUAAGCUCUUCAGAGCAACCCCUUUGCCAGCCGUGGCUUUUCUGUCCUUUCAGUAGCUCUGAGGGCUCCUGAUGGAAUUGGGUUCAGCUGGUGCCCUAAAGCUGGGACCUCCCUUGAGACUCAGAUGGAAGGACCCAGCCAGGGGGCUACAGGCUUCCCCCUUCUCUCUAUGUUUCCCUGCUGUCUGUGUUGGGUGCUCCGGAGACUUGCUCAGGUUGCUUUCAAGAUAACCAUUUCAUGUAAGAGGGAAUACUUUCAAAAGAAAAAAGAGAAGGAAUAAGUAUAAUAAGCAAAAAUGACCAUCAAUAAAAUCAAUCUAUAUAUCCA
rnacentral:lncRNA from 1 species